GAGACAGCAGUAGCCGCGGGAAUACAGAGGGUGCGAGCGUUAAUCGGAUUUACUGGGCGCAAAGCGUGCGUAGGCGGCUUCUUAAGUCGGAUGUGAAAUCCCUGAGCUUAACUUAGGAAUUGCAUUCGAUACUGGGAAGCUAGAGUAUGGGAGAGGAUGGUAGAAUUCCAGGUGUAGCGGUGAAAUGCGUAGAGAUCUGGAGGAAUACCGAUGGCGAAGGCAGCCAUCUGGCCUAAUACUGACGCUGAGGUACGAAAGCAUGGGGAGCAAACAGGAUUAGAUACCCGAGUAGUCCCUGUCUCUUAUAC
rnacentral:rRNA from 1 species